GAAAUGUUGUAAGAUAUGCAACACCUAUGCAAGCAAGUAAAAAUGUUAUGUGUUAUUUUGGUCAAGUUAGAAUAGAAACAAGAUCUCAAGCUCAUGGUGCCUUUUCCUUUCCUCGACUGUAAUAUCGCUAAUAUAUAUUUAAUUUCAAUUAGACGUGUGUAAUUAUUACCCCUUCAUCCCAUAUUAAAGGGUGUUAUUUUGUUGGUUUCCUUCCUGUUCAAAAACAAAACAAAACAAGGUGUCCUAUCUCCACCGAUCCACUUCUCCUCGACAUGCUCCACUAUCCUGUGUGCUUGAGUCGUCCUCGCCUUGGCACCACCCUUUGAAUAGUUGGCAGCACUCUUUGAAUAGCACCUCACUGACUUUGCCAUUAACCUUUCCCUGUUAAUUGUUACAUGGUGUUGAUUGUUGAUGGCCAUGCAUGCGAGCAAUUCCCGCUGAUUCCUACACAAAGCGCAUGCUAAUUGAUGGUGACCAUGCAACAUGCUAUAGCCCACUGUUAAUUUUGGCACAACAUCUGCGGCCUGAGGCGUGUGGGAGUGAGCACAAGGACUAAUUAGUGGUGUCACUUGUCUUAGAAAAAAAAUCGAUACGCCCUCUAAUAUGGAACAUAUGAAGAAGUUGUUGUAUUUGGCAUUCAAGCAUUGGUUUUCCUUUUGGAUCUUGCUUGAUGAAAAGAGAAAAUUUCAUCGUUAUGGGGAUAGAUCAUUGCAAUUGCUGGUCUUCGGCAAGGAAUGCCUAGUAAGCGCGAGUCAUCAGCUCGCGUUGACUACGUCCCUACCCUUUGUACACACCGCACGUCGCUCCUAGCGAUUGAAUGGUCCGGUGAAGUGUUCGGAUCGCAGUGAAGGGGGUGGUUCGCUGCCCCCAACGUCACGAGAAGCCCAUUGAACCUUAUCAUUUAGAGGAAGGAGAAGUAGUAACAAGGUUUCCAUAGGUAUUGUCGUGACCCUGA
rnacentral:ncRNA from 1 species